GAUGAACGCUGGCGGCGUGCCUAACACAUGCAAGUCGAGCGAACCCUUCGGGGUGAGCGGCGGACGGGUGAGUAACGCGUGGGUAACCUGCACUAUACACACGGAUAACGUACCGAAAGGUACGCUAAUACGGGAUAAAGUUGUUGGAUGGCAUCUUCUAACAAUCAAAGCUCUGGCGGUAUAGGAUGGACCCGCGUCUGAUUAGCUAGUUGGUGAGGUAAUGGCUCACCAAGGCGACGAUCAGUAGCCGACCUGAGAGGGUGAUCGGCCACACUGGAACUGAGACACGGUCCAGACUCCUACGGGAGGCAGCAGUGGGGAAUAUUGCACAAUGGGCGAAAGCCUGAUGCAGCAACGCCGCGUGAGCGAUGAAGGUCUUCGGAUCGUAAAGCUCUGUCCUCAAGGAAGAUAAUGACGGUACUUGAGGAGGAAGCCCCGGCUAACUACGUGCCAGCAGCCGCCGUAA
rnacentral:rRNA from 1 species